CACACCGCCCGUCACACCAUGGGAGUGGGUUGCAAAAGAAGUAGGUAGCUUAACCUUCGGGAGGGCGCUUACCACUUUGUGAUUCAUGACUGGGGUGAAGUCGUAACAAGGUAACCGUAGGGGAACCUGCGGUUGGAUCACCUCCUUACCUGAAAGAA
rnacentral:rRNA from 1 species